AUGGAGAAUGGAGACGAUGACGCCGCGGUCCAUGGAGCUGUUCGUGACGCACGAUCACGCGGCGAAGGAGCAAGCGGAUUCUCAGCUGACAUGGUUGCAGCUGGAGGAACACCCCGCGUGGUUGAGCAGGGGCACACUUUUGAGAGGUUCGUGUACUUUGUGAGCGCAUUGGACAUGCUGGAGAUGGUGAAUAUAUUCUAUGCUAAAAUGUUUCAUCUAGAUGGGGCUAACAAACUACCCAAUUCUUUGAAGGACGGUAGUACUAGUAAUAAUCUUUCAGUCCAAAAAACCAUGUCUCGUAAUGCUCCUCGCUGCAGCAGAUGCAGGAACUGGAAGAAACAAUGGACGAGCCGUCGAGUGAACGGGGGCCCAACACCACUUUGCCUGUCGAGGCCCACUGCUACUAGUACGACUACGAGUGAACUGAACCCGCUGCUACCACUACGAGUGUUUCCUCUGGCUGACUGGCUAGGUUUCCUCGCCGCCGAAAUGAACACGACGAGCGAGGACACCACCCGUGGCCGCCGCCGCCGCCGCCGCCGCCGCUCCCAAACCCACGCGAGUGACGAUGCCGAUGGAGUGACCCGCCGCCGCAGUCCGCCCCUCCUCGGCCUCUUCCACCAAUGCAAGGAUGAUAUCGUCUUCACCCCCAUCAUGGACCGCCCCGACCGAAUCCGUCCAAAGCGUUUCGACCUGCAUCUCGACAGCCACAACAUGGGAGCGGUCCAACUUCUCGAUUGCCGCCAUGGCCGCGUCCUUCUCACGGACAAACGGCGGGAUGAGCUCAUCCUGUGCGACCCUAUCAUCGGUGAGCAGCGCCUCAUGGCUGUUCCGCCAGAGUUCGUAAGAAAAUGCUUCAACGGGACUGUGCUCUGCGCUGCCAUUGACCAUGACCACGUGCACGAAAGCUGCCACUCGAGCCCCUUCAAGGUGGUGCUGAUCUCCUAUCUCGGAGGGGAUAAUCAACAUAUCGUGUGUGUUUACUCCUCUGAGACUCGUGUAUGGGGUGAUAUCAUUUCGACAACCGCUUCGUAUCAUCUUUCUGAUUAUGGUAUCCCUGGCUUGCUUGUUGGUAAUGCACUUUACUGGUUGCUGGAUAUUAUAGGCGCUGGCAUACUUAAGUUUGAUUUGGAUGAGCAGAGCCUAGCUGUGAUCGAGGGGCCUCUUUGUACAAUGAUUUUAGCCAUGAGGAAUAUCAUUUGCCAUGGUGUUGCCACAUGGGUGCUAUGGAAGACCAUUGACAUGCGUACAAUUCUUGGGCUCCCUAAACAGAUUCAAGGAAAGAGGACACUUAUAAGACAUACACUGGGAUGCCUCGAGGAUUGUGAUGAAAUACUUCUAUCUGUGGAUUGUCGUGCCUAUAUGGUUCAACUUAAGUCGAUGAAGUCCAGGAAACUUUGUGAAAACAGUUAUUUAACUUGCUAUCAUUCUUUCAAGAGUUUCUAUCCUCCAGGAACAUCCAUUGCUGGCGGAUGUGAUGGAAAUGAUGCAUGCUACACAAGGGGGUGGGGGGUGGGGCCGUGGGGGUAUUGUAUAGCUCUUCUUUAUGUUGCUGUGCUGAUCAUGAGUUUGUACACAUGGGUACUCAGCUAUUUGGUGCUGAAGAUACCCGAAACUGCUAUUCAGAUGGAUAUCGGUUUCCUGCUAUUCUCCUGUCCAUAUCCAAAGGUGUUGCCAUUUAUGCUGUGCGGCUUGCUUGCACUGACUAUGGCCUCCAAGAAGGACGAUGUUUAUAGCUUUGGCAUUGUGAUCAUGGAAAUUGUCAGUGGAAGAAAGAAACUCGACACUUCCAGGUCUGAAGAGAGCAUCCAUCUUAUUACCCUAUUGGAUGAAAAAGUUAAGACUGAUCAGUUGGUAAAUUUGAUUGACAAGAACAUUAACGAUAUGCAACCACAUGAGCAAGAAGUAGCUCAUAUGAUAAAGCUUGCAAUGUGGUAUCUACAGAUUGAUUGCAAGAGAAGGCCUCAAAUGUCUGAGAUUAUCAAAGUCCUAGAAGAUACUAAGAAUGCAGUGAUCAACAUAGAGCACAACUUUGUUCUUACAAAUCUAGGAAAUUUUGUUAUUGAUGCGAAUGUGAACAUCAAAGGAUUGCUUCGGCUUGUAAAGAAAUGA
rnacentral:rRNA from 1 species